UUUAUUUUAUUAUUAUUAUUAUUAUUAUUAUUAUUAUUAUUAUUAAUGAAAUGCCCCCAUCUGACUGGGCUGCCCCAGCCACUCUGGGCUGCCGCCACAAAAAUAUAGAAACACAAUAAAACAUCGAACAUUUAAAAGCUUCCCUUCAAGACUUCAAACACGACCUUCACCGCAUGAGGAAUGCAGCUGUCCCUCCUUCCCUAACCGAAUAGUUUCCCUUGCUUAGUUAUCUUACUCGAGACCUUAUAAAACCGUCUCUUGUCGUUUAAUUCAGUUGCCGGCUGGUGUGGUUCGAAAACCUUCUGCUCCGUUUCACCUCAGAGCCAGAUUCAGAUGAAAACAUGCCCCAAACUUCAUUUCGCCUGCUGUACUGUAAACCGAGUGCAUGUGGAUGUUCAUUAGUAUACCUUUUCAAAGCAUGGUGUGUUUUGUUUUGUUUUAAAAUCGACGUAUCGAAACUCAAACAGGUCAAACACAGAAAGAGAGAUCUGGAGUGAACAGCAUUCAUUCCGUUCAUCUAUUUCUCUUUCAGCAUUCGUUGCAGUGCAAUUCGCAUGAACGCGGCGCGAUUCUGUAUAACUCUCCAUGGUGCUGAAUUUAUCCACAAAGGGUUGUUAGCCUGACAAGUAGCCAUUGGCUUCGUUUUGUAACAUUUUAAAAGGGCCAGAAAGAUGGUGUGUUGAAGUUAAAUAAAUAAGUAAAGUACCUACUCGGAACCUUAGAUUCUGUUCAGGUGCCCUUUUGGCAAUUUUGGGGAGGCAUGAGGUACUGGAGCACAUUCCAAGCUACAUUAAAAUGUUGGAUUUCUCCAUUGAUUGAUAUGGGUGACCCUCAAUUCUGUCUCUUGCAAUGUUUAAAAGUAGCUUCUCAGUCUAAACCAGGAAAUGACAUUUCCAGGCAAGGAUUAGUUACUUCUACCCUUUAUCAAUUUGCAUCUGUCCUCCUGCCAUAGCUACUCCCCACCCAGUUACCAGGCCCCUGUCUUCCCUAGUCUCUCAUUAUUAUGCAUAAUAUGGGGCUACUCAGUCUGCUGAUACUUCUGUCUUGUGCAUGGGUAAUGCUGUUUUGGCAGAAUAAGCAGGAUCACUGGAAAACUUGGUCUUGUUAUUAUUACAAUUGGUUUGAGUAUGGAGAUGGGAUACGCAGCAGUAUAGGGUCUGAACAUGAAGAGCUUUAUAGGCCAGAAAUCAGUCUAUGCUGAUAGCCAAUUGGAAAGCCAGUGCUGAGUUAGUAAGGAAACUGGGCUGCUAGUAUUAUCUGCUCUCAGUGGUCCACUCUCAGAAAGCAGAUUACCACAUUCUGCACCAGCGUAGUUACCAAAUAGGCACAAAGAAGCACCUUGUGUCUCACCUCAUGGUUACAGAGAUGUACCUGUUCCAAAGUCCAACACAAAAAAAACUUAGCAAUUUACGGUACUACUUUGCUGGAUGCCAUCAAAACCUGGAUCUCCAACCUUAAAAAUAGAUUCAGGAGCACUCCAAGAGCAAACCUCAUUGGUCAGCUUGCUCCUUAGAAGUGACAUGACAGAAUACUUGCCUAUGUUCUGCCUCCAUCAAAAACAUUGGCACAAAUUAUCUUGGAGUGAUUCUUAUUUAGUGAUUCACUGUAUAUUUACUUCUAACAGCUACUGUGUACGCUACUAGUUUUGCUUGUUGUAUGUUGCAGAGCACACUUUCUCAAGCAGCAGCUGGUAAAGAUUUUGCCUUUUAAAACUCUUCCCUAAUUGAGUUAUGUUGGCAAUUUGCAUAUGCAUUUUCCAAGAUCAUUAUAAAAAACUAUAUUUGAUUCAAG